rnacentral:rRNA from 1 species
ACUCCUACGGGAGGCAGCAGUGGGGAAUAUUGCACAAUGGGCGCAAGCCUGAUGCAGCCAUGCCGCGUGUAUGAAGAAGGCCUUCGGGUUGUAAAGUACUUUCAGCAGUGAGGAAGGCAGGUACGUUAANAGCGUCUUGUUUGACGUUAGCUGCAGAAGAAGCACCGGCUAACUCCGUGCCAGCAGCCGCGGUAAUACGGAGGGUGCGAGCGUUAAUCGGAAUUACUGGGCGUAAAGCGCGUGUAGGUGGCUGUUAAGCCAGAUGUGAAAGCCCC